rnacentral:rRNA from 1 species
GACGAACGCUGGCGGCGCGCCUAACACAUGCAAGUCGAACGAGCGAGAGAGAGCUUGCUUUCUUGAGCGAGUGGCGAACGGGUGAGUAACGCAUGAGGAACCUGCCUCAAAGAGGGGGACAACAGUUGGAAACGACUGCUAAUACCGCAUAAGCCCACGGUGCCGCAUGGCACAGAGGGAAAAGGAGCAAUCCGCUUUGAGAUGGCCUCGCGUCCGAUUAGCUAGUUGGUGAGGUAACGGCCCACCAAGGCGACGAUCGGUAGCCGGACUGAGAGGUUGAACGGCCACAUUGGGACUGAGACACGGCCCAGACUCCUACGGGAGGCAGCAGUGGGGAAUAUUGCACAAUGGGGGAAACCCUGAUGCAGCGACGCCGCGUGGAGGAAGAAGGUCUUCGGAUUGUAAACUCCUGUUGUUGGGGAAGAUAAUGACGGUACCCAACAAGGAAGUGACGGCUAACUACGUG